rnacentral:rRNA from 1 species
AAAAGCUUUGCUUUUCUCGAGUUAGUGGCGGACGGGUGAGUAACACGUGAGCAACCUGCCUUUGAGAGGGGGAUAGCUUCUGGAAACGGAUGGUAAUACCCCAUAACAUACAUUUAAGGCAUCUUAGAUGUAUCAAAUGAAAUUCGCUCAAAGAUGGGCUCGCGUCUGAUUAGAUAGUUGGUGAGGUAACGGCUCACCAAGUCGACGAUCAGUAGCCGGACUGAGAGGUUGAACGGCCACAUUGGGACUGAGACACGGCCCAGACUCC